GACGUAGGGCGCGAGCGUUGUCCGGAUUUACUGGGCGUAAAGCGCACGCAGGUGGCUGAGUCAGUCGAUUGUGAAAGCCCUGGGCUUAACCUGGGAAUUGCAGUCGAUACUACUCAGCUAGAGUAUGGGAGAGGGCAGUGGAAUUCCCGGUGUAGCGGUGAAAUGCGUAGAUAUCGGGAGGAACAUCAGUGGCGAAGGCGGCUGCCUGGCCCAAUACUGACACUCAGGUGCGACAGCGUGGGGAGCAAACAGG
rnacentral:rRNA from 1 species